AAUUCAUCUCGAGCCAGGGCCCAAAAAUGAACUCACACAUUAACAUAACGAAAAUGUUUACAGGCCAAUAAAUCUGAUGUCAGCCUCUCCUCUCCUCUCCUCUUUUCUGCUCUGCUCCUCCAGAGUUUUUCCUUCAUUUGGCCAGAAGAAUUAUGCAACGAUGAAGAAGAAGCCUCCGAAUCUUUGGCAAGCAUUUAGUGGCGGAGAGGCAAAACCGAAGCGGAUGUAAAUAAUGCGUCACUUUCGCGUUCGUUUUCUCGCCAAAUUGCCGACAAUCUGGUAAAUCCUUAUAAUUAAAUCCCAGGCCCUGGUUGCAUAAGAGGCGUCUGACACUGCGACUGCGACUGCGACUGAGACACUGAGACAGCUGUCCAAAUGGAAUAACUGUAGCGCGACCAGCAGGAAUGAAGAAAGGAAGUGAGUGCUGCGCACGAAUCGGGGUGUAGAAAAUGUGAGACCUGGCGAAAACAAACGAAAGAUUCAAGCGACAAACGUGGCAUGCGAGCCGAAAUGGUGUAAAAAAAAAAACGGCAGAAGUGCCACCAGCCACCAGCCACCACCAACGACACCAACGACACCACCGAAAACGGAAGUAAGCGACACGCCAGCGGGAAAAAAUGUGGACCAGGCCAUAAACACUUUUGGGCGCUUCAGAUAAGGCCAACCACGAUGGGAGAUGGGAGA